rnacentral:rRNA from 17 species
GCCUAGUAAGCGCGAGUCAUCAGCUCGCGU